AGUGAACGCUGGCGGUAGGCCUAACACAUGCAAGUCGAACGGCAGCACAGUAAGAGCUUGCUCUUACGGGUGGCGAGUGGCGGACGGGUGAGGAAUACAUCGGAAUCUACUUUUUCGUGGGGGAUAACGUAGGGAAACUUACGCUAAUACCGCAUACGACCUACGGGUCAAAGCAGGGGAUCUUCGGACCUUGCGCGAUUGAAUGAGCCGAUGUCGGAUUAGCUAGUUGGCGGGGUAAAGGCCCACCAAGGCGACGAUCCGUAGCUGGUCUGAGAGGAUGAUCAGCCACACUGGAACUGAGACACGGUCCAGACUCCUACGGGAGGCAGCAGUGGGGAAUAUUGGACAAUGGGCGCAAGCCUGAUCCAGCCAUACCGCGUGGGUGAAGAAGGCCUUCGGGUUGUAAAGCCCUUUUGUUGGGAAAGAAAAGCAGCAGGUUAAUACCCCGCUGUUCUGACGGUACCCAAAGAAUAAGCACCGGCUAACUUCGUG
rnacentral:rRNA from 1 species